rnacentral:rRNA from 1 species
UACCCGCGCCCCGAGUGGUCAUCACGUUUAUUGGGCUUGGAGCGUUCGUAGCCGGUUCGCUGUGUCUCUGAUGAAAUCCUGUAGCUAACUACAGGGAUGGUUGGAGAUACUGGCGGACUUGGGACCGGGAGAGGUGUGGGGUAUUCCGGGGGUAGCGGUAAAAUGCUUUAAUCCUCGGAGGACCACCUGUGGCGAAGGCGCCACACUAGAACGGAUCCGACGGUGAGGGACGAAAGCUAGGGGAGCAAAACGG